GCCUGGGUGGCUCAGCGGUUGAGCAUCUGCCUUUGGCUCAGGGCAUGAUCCCUAUCCUGGGAUCGAGUCCCACUUCAGGCU
rnacentral:tRNA from 1 species